ACUUAAGAUAGGAUUGUUCAAUUGGGCCAAUAGAAUGAUAAAUAUCAGAAUAUGUUUACCAAAGUGGUACCCUAUGUCAUUUAAAACAAUAAUUCCAUCUAUAAUCCGAGCCUAGUUGUAAGGUGCUACGAGUCAUCCAAACAGUGAAUUGAAAUACCUACAUGCCCCAUUUGGUACAUGAACAUACUUAAAUUUUCUACCAAAAUAGUGCUACAUCUCAGCAUUAACAAUAAAUAUCACUAUCACAAGCCUCCAGAAGUGCAGAUGCCCUAUUGAUCAUAAAUUUCAAACAUCUUAUCUGUGAUUUUGAAAUUCCUUAUUUGACAAAAUUGACAGCUUUGAAAAUGAAGGUUGCAACCAAUGAGAAGUAAAAGUAAAAACAGAUAUUAAAUAAGCCGUUGCACCAUUCCACCAUCAACUUUUACUAGAUUCCCACCAUAUUCAAUUCUCAACUGUGCUAUGAUAAUUAUCCUUCAUCUUGGUUACUCCAUUUUCAUUAUUUACCUUCACCCACUCAAAUGAAGCACCAGAAUCAGCAUUCUCACAACAGACAUGCAAGCUAAAACAGUUCAGAUAGCCAG
rnacentral:misc_RNA from 1 species